UAGAAUGGGGUGUAAUGGGUAGCACGGAGAAUUUUGGAUUCUUAGGUGUAGGUUCAAUUCCUAUCAUUCUAG
rnacentral:tRNA from 1 species